AGAUUGAACGCUGGCGGCAUGCCUUACACAUGCAAGUCGAACGGCAGCACGGGAGCAAUCCUGGUGGCGAGUGGCGAACGGGUGAGUAAUAUAUCGGAACGUGCCCAGUCGUGGGGGAUAACGCAGCGAAAGCUGUGCUAAUACCGCAUACGAUCUAUGGAUGAAAGCGGGGGAUCGCAAGACCUCGCGCGAUUGGAGCGGCCGAUAUCAGAUUAGCUAGUUGGUAGGGGUAAAAGCCUACCAAGGCGACGAUCUGUAGCUGGUCUGAGAGGACGACCAGCCACACUGGAACUGAGACACGGUCCAGACGUCCUACGGGAGGCAGCAGGUGGGAAUUUUGGACAAGUGGGCG
rnacentral:rRNA from 1 species